rnacentral:rRNA from 1 species
UUGGAGGGCAAGUCUGGUGCCAGCAGCCGCGGUAAUUCCAGCUCCAAUAGCGUAUAUUAAAGUUGUUGCAGUUAAAAAGCUCGUAGUUGAAUUUCGGGGUUAGUAGGUUGGUCAUGCCUCUGGUAUGUACUGGUCUCACUGAUUCCUCCUUCCUGAUGAACCUUAAUGCCAUUUAUUUGGUGUUUUGGGGAAUUUGGACUGUUACUCUGAAAAAAUUAGAGUGUUUAAAGCAAGCUAACGCUUGAAUACAUUAGCAUGGAAUAAUGAAAUAGGACGUUCGAUCCUAUUUUGUUGGUUUCUAGGACUGACGUAAUGAUUAAUAGGGAUAGUUGGGGGCAUUAGUAUUCAAUUGUCAGAGGUGAAAUUCUUGGAUUUAUUGAAGACUAACUACUGCGAAAGCAUUUGCCAAGGAUGUUUUCAUUAAUCAAGAACGAAAGUUAGGGGAUCGAAGACGAUCAGAUACCGUCGUAGUCUUAACCAUAAACUAUGCCGACUAGGGAUCGGAUGAUGUUAAUUUUUUAAUGACCCAUUCGGCGCCUUACGGGAAACCAAAGUGUUUGGGUU